rnacentral:rRNA from 1 species
ACGAACGCUGGCGGCGUGCUUAACACAUGCAAGUCGAACGGAAAGGCCCUGCUUUUGUGGGGUGCUCGCGUGGCGAACGGGUGAGUAACACGUGAGUAACCUGCCCUUGACUUUGGGAUAACUUCAGGAAACUGGGGCUAAUACCGGAUAGGAGCUCCUGCUGCAUGGUGGGGGUUGGAAAGUUUCGGCGGUUGGGGAUGGACUCGCGGCUUAUCAGCUUGUUGGUGGGGUAGUGGCUUACCAAGGCUUUGACGGGUAGCCGGCCUGAGAGGGUGACCGGCCACAUUGGGACUGAGAUACGACCCAGACUCCUACAGGAGGCAGCAGUGCAGAAUAUUCCACAAUGGGCGGAAGCCUGAUGCAGCAACGCCGCGUGCGGGAUGACGGCCUUCGGGUUGUAAACCGCUUUCGCCUGUGACGAAGCGUGAGUGACGGUAAUGGGUAAAGAAGCACCGGCUAACUACGUG